rnacentral:lncRNA from 1 species
AUGAGGCAGCAGCUGGAGGGCCGGGGCUCCUCCCCGGUAAAGGGACCAGGUGGGGCCCAGGCCACGCCCACUGCCCCAGCGAUGACGACGUGGCCCCAUCCCCGAGGGAGAGAGACACACAGGGUGUCGCAGGAUGAGCAAGGGGAGGCCUGGCUGGAGGGACCAAGGUGGGUCCUCCAAGGAAGUGGCAUUUCCUCUGAGCUUCCCGGGGGAGCAGAGGUUUGCCAGGUACGUGGGAGGAGCUUCCCAGAGGAAGGGCCAGCACCUGCAAAGGCCCUGGAGUGGGAGAAACCUGGAGGAAGUCGAAAGAAGCAGCUCGGCGGGGGCGGGAAUACCCCACCCACGGCCCCGGCGUCUUGCCGGGCGCUCAGCCUCCCUCUGGCCUCUGUGGAGGCCUCCCUGCAUCGCCCUCCUGGAACGUCAGCCUCUCCAGAGCGGGAACUUCCGUUCCAUCUUGUUCAAGCUGCGCCCCGGAGCCUGGAACAGCCAGCACCUGGCGCUCAGCAGGUGCUCCAUCCGUUCUGGCUGCUCCCCCAAGACAGACAAGAACGGCGAGGGGAAGAGGGUUCCCCAAAGCCUCUGCCUGCCUUCUGCAGCUGAGCUGCUUCAGCCUCUGUGGGACACCCAUUUGAAGGAACCUGUCCAAAUCCAUGUAAGAGAUCUCCUAUUUUUUCCCUCCCACCUGAGGCUCUUCCUCCUCACCAGACACCUGUUCCAAGGAAGCUCCUGCAACUAGGGUGUGGGCUUGUGUCUUGAGGGUUGAGUAUCCAGGGUGACAGUGAAGAAUCCAUACUCCCACCGCAAGAGUGGAUUUCAGUGUGCCUGAGAGGAAGAGGAGUAAGACAUCCUGUUGGCAUGUGCCCCAG